GACGAACGCUGGCGGCAUGCCUAAUACAUGCAAGUCGAGCGAACAGAUGAAGUGCUUGCGCUUCUGACGUUAGCGGCGAACGGGUGAGUAACACGUAAGGAAUCUACCUAUAAGCGGGGGAUAACAUUCGGAAACGGGUGCUAAUACCGCAUAAUAUCUUCUUCCGCAUGGAAGAAGAUUGAAAGACGGCUCUGCUGUCACUUAUAGAUGACCUUGCGGUGCAUUAGUUAGUUGGUGGGUUAAUGGCCUACCAAGACGAUGAUGCAUAGCCGACCUGAGAGGGUGAUCGGCCACAUUGGGACUGAGACACGGCCCAAACUCCUACGGGAGGCAGCAGUAGGGAAUCUUCUGCAAUGGGCGAAAGCCUGACGGAGCAAUGCCGCGUGAGUGAAGAAGGCCUUCGGGUCGUAAAACUCUGUUAUAAGAGAAGAACAAAUUGUAGAGUAACUGCUACAGUCUUGACGGUAUCUUAUCAGAAAGCCACGGCUAACUACGUGCCAGCCGCCGCAGUAA
rnacentral:rRNA from 1 species